rnacentral:rRNA from 1 species
GACGAACGCUGGCGGCGUGCCUAAUACAUGCAAGUUGAGCGCUGAAGGUUGGUACUUGUACCAACUGGAUGAGCAGCGAACGGGUGAGUAACGCGUGGGGAAUCUGCCUUUGAGCGGGGGACAACAUUUGGAAACGAAUGCUAAUACCGCAUAAAAACUUUAUACACAAGUUUUAAGUUUGAAAGAUGCAAUUGCAUCACUCAAAGAUGAUCCCGCGUUGUAUUAGCUAGUUGGUGAGGUAAAGGCUCACCAAGGCGAUGAUACAUAGCCGACCUGAGAGGGUGAUCGGCCACAUUGGGACUGAGACACGGCCCAAACUCCUACGGGAGGCAGCAGUAGGGAAUCUUCGGCAAUGGACGAAAGUCUGACCGAGCAACGCCGCGUGAGUGAAGAAGGUUUUCGGAUCGUAAAACUCUGUUGGUAGAGAAGAACGUUGGUGAGAGUGGAAAGCUCAUCAAGUGACGGUAACUACCCAGAAGGGGACGGCUAACUACGUG